AAUGGGGGCAACCCUGAUCCAGCCAUGCCGCGUGAGUGAAGAAGGCCUUCGGGUUGUAAAGCUCUUUCGGCUGGGAAGAAAUCGCAUCUCCUAAUACGGGGUGUGGAUGACGGUACCAGCAUAAGAAGCACCGGCUAACUACGUGCCAGCAGCCGCGGUAAUACGUAGGGUGCGAGCGUUAAUCGGAAUUACUGGGCGUAAAGCGUGCGCAGGCGGUUUCGUAAGACAGAGGUGAAAUCCCCGGGCUCAACCUGGGAACUGCCUUUGUGACUGCGAGGCUAGAGUAUGGCAGAGGGGGGUGGAAUUCCACGUGUAGCAGUGAAAUGCGUAGAGAUGUGGAGGAACACCGAUGGCGAAGGCAGCCCCCUGGGCCAAUACUGACGCUCAUGCACGAAAGCGUGGGGAGCAAA
rnacentral:rRNA from 1 species